AUCCCUAAGGUAUUUUACGUAUUGCUAACAAAGUUUCUCAUAUAUCACUUUUACUUUGAAAUGCCAGUUUUUAAAAUAACUUUUUUUACUGAAGAAUAAUUGACAUACAAUAUUUCAUUAAUUUCAGGUAUACAGCGUAGUAAUUUAAUAGCUCUGCUGUGUAUUACGUAUCUGUGUCAUAUGCAUUUUAUAACUGGAAGAUUGUGCCUCUUAAUCCUCCUCACCUGUUUCGUCCAUCACCACACCCCACUCCUCUCUGGCAACCAUCAAGUUUGUUCUCUGUAUCUGAGUCUUUUUUCUGUUUUGUUUUUUAAAUUCCACAUAUAAGUGAAAUCACUGACUUAUUUCACUUAGCAUGGUACCUUAUAGGUCCAUCCAUGUUGUCGCAAAUGGCAAGAUUUCAUUUUUUAAGAAAGUUUAAAGUUAGGUUUUAUGUGUUUAUUUAUUUAAUAAGUCAAUCUCUACACCCAGUGUAGGGCUCAAACUCAUGACCCUGAGAUCAAGAGUCACAUGCUCUUCCAACUGAGCCAGCCAGGCACCCCAAGAUUUCAUUUUUUAAGGCUGGGUAAUAUACCACAUCUUGUUUUUCCAUUCUAUUGAUGGAUACUUAGGUUGCUUCCAUAUCUUGGCUAUUGUAAACAUUGCUAUAAUGAACGUAAGGGUACACAUGUCUUUUCAAAGUGGUUUUUGUUUUCUUUGGAUACAUACCUGGAACUGGAAUUGCUGGAUUGUAUGGUAGUUCUAUUUUAAAUUUUUUGAGGAACUUCCGUACUGUUUUCCACAGUAGCUGCACCAAUUUACAACCUUAACUACUUACAGUGCACGAGAUUCCCUUUUCUCCACAUCCUCGCCACACUUGUUACUUCUAACAGGUGUAAGGUGAUUUCUUGUGGUUUUGAUUUGCAUUUCCCUGAUGAUUACUGAAAUUGAUCAUCUUUUCAUUGCCUGUUGGCCAUCUGUGUGUCUUUGGAAAAAUGUCUCUUGUUUUGUCCUGUUUUUUGUUUUGUUUUUAGAGAGAGAGAGGCAGAGGGAGAGAGAGAAUCUCUAGCAGGCUCCACAUUCAGAGCAGAGCUUAAUGGUGGGGCUUGAUCUCAUGACCUGAGUGAAAUCAGGAGUCAGACCUCAACCAACUGAGCCACCAGGCACCCUCCUCUCCCUCCUCUGUCCAUUUUCUUAAUUGGAGUGUUUAUUAUUAGUUUUUAAAUACUGAAUUAUGAGUUCUUUAUAUAGUUCACAUGUUAACCCCUUAUUGUAUAUAUCAUUUGUGACUGUCUUCUCCCAUUGCCUUUUCAUUUUGUUGGUCAUAUCCAUUGCUGUGUAAAAGCCUUUCAGUUCGAUGUACUCCCAUUUGUUUGUACAAAAGCUUUUUAGUUUGUUGUAGUCAAAAGUUUUGAGUGCGGUAUUUUGGUCUUUUUUUCUUUUUCAAUUGUGAGGAUACCAUUCCUGCUUUAUUUUGGUUAUCAAUUUGUAGACUAUGGACUGUGUACUCAUUACCCAUUUCUAGGAAGAAAUUUGAAUAUUCAGUUCAGAGAAAGGUAAACAAGAAUUCUUUAAAGCACUCUUGGGAGUUAGAGUUGAUAAUUAUUGUUUACCGUGGGGAGAUGCUCUCAAGGAAUCAUAGGUACAUGAAAUAGAAAUCUUUUACUAUUAUGCCUCCUUUUUAGUCCAUCUUAAAUAUACUGGACACAUGAAGAAAGAUGGCAACAGUGAGGAAGAUACCAAAUCCAUUGCUUGGGAAGCCUGCCAAUAAAAUAGAGCUGGCACAGAGUUUAGAACCCAAGCUCUUCCAGAUAGUGGACACCACUUACUUUCUGUCUUCAGCUGUGUUUCUUAGAGUGGUCAGAGAACAUUUUGUAUUUUAGGAUAGGCCCCAGGGCUACUUGAAUGCAGAUUCAUGGGCCCACCGCAGGCUUAAGGAAUUAGAGUCUCAUAGAGUUGGGCCAGGGAAUGUGUUUUUCUUAGUCUUCAUUAUGGAAACUUUUAAGCAUACAGAGAGAAAGAGUAGUGAACACCUGUUACCAUCUACCUGGUUUCAAUAAUUAACAUAGAUAUCUUUGUCAGUGUAUGUUUGUGUAUCUAACAUACUAUAAGGAAGCACCUCUCUGUACUGCAAAUACUAAAUAAUUAGAAUAAUUCUAUAUAGCUGUAAUACCAUUAUCCCAUCAUUAUCAAUGAUUCCAUAAUUUUACAGAAUCAUGUAAUAACUGCUUAUAUUCACAUUUGCCCAUUUGCCCCCAACAAUUUCUUCUAUAGGUUUUUUUCCCCUCCAAACAGGGAUUUAAUUAUAAUUCACUCAUUGCUUUUGUUUCUGUUACCCUAGAACAGUUUUCUUACAUGUUUUCCCCUCGUGACGUUGACUUUUGCAGACUCUAGGCCAGUUCAUACAUGUUCUAUAUUUUGGAUUGCCUAAUUGUUUUUUCCAAGUAUCAUCUGACCUCUCUGUUUUCUGGGUCAACUUUAAGGUGCAUCUAGGGGCUUGAUUUUAUUCAGGGUACAUAUGUUUGCCAAAAUACUGCUUCCUACUUCCUUUUUGCAUCCUGUCAACAGGCACAUGGUAUCUGAUGUGUUGCACUGUUAGUGAUGCUAAGGUUUAUCUCCUGGUUAAGAUUCUGACUCCCAGAUUUUUCUGUAUAGAGGUAUGUAUUUUUUCCCUUUUGCAACCAGUAAAUAACUCGUGGGAUAAUACUUUGGCAAGAUGUCUGUGUUGUUUCCUAGCAACCUUUUACCUACUGCCAUUAGCAGCCAGUGAGAAUCCUUCCUGUUAUCAAUUACGACAUUGUUGGUGGGAGGUGGGAUUUGUAUUUUAAACAAGCUCCCCAGUAAUUCUUACCUUUCUUUAAAGUUUGGGAGCCUUUGCUCUAGAGGAAUCAGUACCUGAGAAUAAAAAAAAAGAAAUUCUGUCCUGAAGAAGUGAGUAUGAAUCUAGGCCCUGAUGAGUUCUCAGUGGGUUGUCAGUAGACAAAGUUUAAACUGCAUGUUAGUUUUGGAGGAGCAAAAUUAGUGUUCUCAUGUGUUUCUCAUAUGUAAUAGCAAUAAAUCAAGGUAAAGACUAACAGAGGUAUGUAGUAACUAUUAGUAUGUAUGACUUAAAGGAGAGUGGUAUAGAAGAGGCAUAUAGAAAUUACCAAGGAGGAAAGGCAGCUGUAUUGAAAAUUCUGUUUUUGCAAUAUUGUCUCAUUUAAAUUUUCAUAAGUUUUUGUGCUCAUUUUAUAGAGGAAGAAAUGGGUUUAGAGAGGUUAAGUAAUCUGAUGUCACUGGUAACUAACUGGUGGAGGAAGGUUUUGAAGGCAGAUCUCAUUGAUGGCAAAAUUUGUGCAGUUUUCUUUAUCAGACUUUUCUUGUAAUGAUCAGAAGGCUCUUCUCACUAAUUACUUUGCUUUACUUUGGGACUUUGCUGUUCUGCUAAUUGAAAAUGGAGAAAUGAUAUUCUUGAACCACUGGGCCCUCUUGAUGUAAAGCUAGGGUCCUUUGAGACCUCUGAUUUCUAGUCUAAUGUAUUAAACUCUGAGGAAUAUGGUAGGCUUAUGACUCUUAGUCAGUUGUAACUGCUGUUGUGAUUCAAGCAGCUGAGUGGUACUGCUGAGUGUAUAUCUUUAGGAAGUUAUUUUCUGUACUUCACCCUAGUCUCUUUCUUGGGGUAGGUGGUCCUUCCAACCCCGUGAUUUCCACAUUACAGAAAGGAGUAUGUAGGGUUGACCACACCCUCUUGGCCACUCUUUAUCCUUGCAGGUCCCACCUAAAGGCUGCACCCGUAUGUUGGUUCUUUGGUGACCUGUUGGAAACACUGAGAGCAGCAGCUUUUAAGAUUCCUAAGAUUAUAAAGCUAUUAUUUCCAAACUUUGGCUGUGCAUUGGAAUCAUCUGAGGAGUUGGAUAUUUGGGUACUACCAUAACAGAUUAGGAUCCAUUAGAUCUGGAAGGGCCUUGGAAUCUGUAUGUUUUAAAAGCCUGUGUUUUCACAAAGGUCCCCCAGCAGUGCACCGAGAUGAGAACCACAGUUGUAUAGGUUGAUUCCUGCCACUAUUUGCAGUGAUAGUUCUCGAGAAGCAGUUUCUGUUAGGAUCACUUGGAAAGUUUUUAUAAAUCUGAGCACUGGGCAUGCCAGAUUUAGAGCGGUGGACCAUACAGAGGAAGCUGUGAUGAUGAUUUUAAUGGAUCACACCAGUGUUAAAGCAAUCUCUGAUUUGACCUUACCCUUAGUUGGAAUGGGUUGGUGAAAGUGUGUAUUAAUCAAGUAGUAGCAAGAUUUGUCAUCUAUUAUGGCAUAUGGAUUACCAUAUACUAAAGCCUUAGAAUAUUGUAAAGACAUUUAACUUUAAAACUGUAUGGUGUAUAACUGAAUAUUCCUUUGAUUCAGAAGCUUCUUUGGAAGUUUGAAGUACUUCAGGGUCAUUAUUAACACAAAUUACCACUGUUAGUGUUUUAGAAGUGCCAAGUUAGGUGUUGGGGAGAUUGCUAUUCAAUCCAGAGUGAAUUUCACAUCUUGAAUUUUCAGAAAUGUUGUAUAUGUUGAAGUCAGUACUAAAGUAGGAUUCCUAAAAAGAAACCAGUGAGUGAAAGAGGAGAAGUGACCUAAAAGGUAUUAAAUGGGUGUCUCAUUACACACAGGGAUGAAGGAAGCAGAGAAGAAAAAUGAUUUCACUACAUUUUGCUUGACAGAUUCACGAGCAGAGGGUAGAUAACUAGGGAAGGGGAUCGGAAGGGGUCAUGGAGUGUUUUACUCUGUUACUCCAUGUUGGUAGGAUAUCAGUACAGUAGAUCAACAAGGAAACCUAGAAUCCGCACAUACCAAAAUAGCGUCCCUCGGGGUUCCAUGUGGGAAUGUAGUGUGGCAGUGGUGAGGCAGUUCAGGCUCCUUGUAACUGGGAAGUUUGAGGUCAGAAAUCCUAGUGGAGGCAAUGGCUGGCAGAGAUGGGGCACAGAGUAUAUGGGCGAGCACAGUGUAGACCAGGUUGGAUCCUCUGAUUUUGGAUCGAAAUGAGCAAAAUUCCCACAUCUGUCAUUUUGCUUGGUUGUGAGGAAUGCAGCUCUGGAGGAGUCACCUAAAUAGUAUAAGGAGCCUUGUAUGUUCAGGAUGCUGCCAUUUUGCCUUCUUUAAAGCAGUUUUCAUGAAAGCUGACUCCGAAGGAAAAGAUUAUGCUUUCUAAAAAGGAAAUCAUAUUUUCAAAAUUCAAGCAAUCCCAAAUGGUUUGGUUAGACCUAGUGUGUGAUGGUGUGCCUUUGGACUAGGAGAACAGAGAAGCUACCUAAAGGAUUUAUUACUCUGUUUGCAGACUAAAUGACAGUUGUAAAAGCGAAGCUGAAGUUAAAAGCAAUUAUAUUGUAGAUUUGGAAGAAUAGAGAAUUAGAAUAUGUUUGUAGCAUUUAUGGACUAUAUGGUUUCCAUUGUUUGCUAGGGACUACAUAAUUUUUAGGUAGGUUUUCAGAUGGUAGUUGUCUAGGAUUAAAUGAGAUGGUGUUUGUCAGGCUGCUAAAGGAUUUGUAAUGGGGACCCAUGAGGUUGGAUUGUGUCAUUUUGCCUGUUUGCUUGACAUUUGCAGUUCACGAUCUCAAUUUGUGAUAUGCUCAUACCUAUUCCUGAAAAACCUCUCAUUCUGCAAAAUCAUGCACUAAAACUAAGGCCUGUGGGGAAGAAAAAAGGAUUAAGGCUAGACUACUUAAAACUAUGUAACUUUGUAACCAUAGCAUUAACAAAAACAAUGAGAAUCCAGAUAAAAAUAUCACUACGGUAGUAUGGGUGACAUUUGCACUCCCUGCCAAGAUGAUUCUAGGUCUUAUUUUAUUCUGGGACAUGUUUUUCUUUGAUAUGUAGGUUCCUGUAGCUAUUAGCUUCUAUUGGAGGCCGUUUUCACCAUAAUUAAAGCUCUGAUGUAAGGUGUAGCCUUCAUGUGUGUCCACAGCAUCACAAGAUAGUGGAGAGCAUAACGGACCCUAAAGCCAGUAAAGUGACCACCCCUAUUUGUGCCACAGGAAGGGACUCAACACCCUCAGCAUUCAGCCAGUGAAAGGAAAGGGAAAAUGGAGAAAGCAUAAUUGCUUCCUAAAAGCCCUACCUAGAAGUGAGACACAUCACUUGUGCUGAAAAUCCAUUGUGAAGAACUAGCCCUGUGACUGUAACCACAUCAGCUCUAAGCGAAAGACAUGAGGCCUAAGACUGAAAUGAGGUUGUUUUGAGGCCAUCUGAUUUCUGACUAGAAGGUGUGCGAUCGCCUCG